rnacentral:tRNA from 1 species
ACCUGGGUGGCUCAGCUGGUUAAGCACCUGACUUUGGCUCAGGUCAUGAUCUCAGUUUGUGGGUUCAAGCCCUGCUUUGGGCU